CGUAGCUCAGUUGGUAGAGCACCUGACUCUUAAUCAGGGUGUCAAGGGUUCGAUCCCCUUCG
rnacentral:tRNA from 1 species